GCCAAUGUGGUGUAGUGGUUUGAGUGUUGGACUACAACUCUUGAGACCAGGGUUCGAUUCCCAGCUCGGUCA